rnacentral:lncRNA from 1 species
GCGAUGCCGAGCCCGCCAAAAGAGGAGAGUGCCACGCCCGGGGAAAGCGUCGACGCCAUCGCUUCAGAGUGAGGGCUUGGGCUUGGCAGCAUUCUGCGGAUUCCUGGGCCCUGCCCUCUCCGCACUGCGUUUGACGGAGGCAAGCCCAGAGGACGUCUUUCGGACAGUACUCUUGCAAGUAAGCACCUUCUUUCCUCCGGAGGUCUGUGGACCAAACCCGGCACAUAAUUGGCUGAUCCUGGUCGUGUGAUCGGUCUGCUCUGAGCUGAUCUUCCAAAGGACCAGAAUUCGAGCUCCAGCCGACAUAGGACAACUCAACCAGCAGUUAGUCACUUCAAAGAAUCCAAGUCCUUUUCUGGCCUCGGAGGGCACUAGGUAUACGUGUGGUGCUCUAUCAUAAAUGCAGGCAAGCCACCUAUAUGCAUAAAGACUAUAAACAAACAAUAAGAAAGGCAGUGAAGAGAGAUAAGAAAAUGGCCUCCAGUGAUAAGCAGGGUGAUAACAUCCUAUUCCAUCCAGACUUUCUGCUUUCCCAGUAGAUCACGAGCACUGGUCGUACUCCAGACCAAAGCACUACAUAAGCAAACAUUCAAUAUUUGGGAUUCUUCCGCACAAUUUACAACCUAAUGAUGGGAGGCACGAAUGCUCGCACACCUAGAAGAAUGUUCGACCACCUAGAAGAAAACAAUUUGAUAGUGAAAUGAAGGGAGGGCCUUUCAAUAGUUUCUUUCUAGGUAAGGGGUUCUGAGUUACCAUCUGUAUAGACACAUUCUCACAACAGAUACCAAGUAGAUGCUUUUGCACAAUUUAAAUGUUGAAAUUUAGGCAAAUUGAGAUGACAAAAGCCAGGUCUAAUUUCAUCCAAAGUAUUUAUACAGCCUAAGGCCUAGUUUUCAAGCAGCUCCGGCCCAAUAAUGCAUUUGAUGAAGAAACACGGGAUACUUUUUACUCAAGAUCUCUAAGCAACAGCAGCAGGACGCCCAGGUCUUUGUCCCCCAACACCUCAAUAUUACUGAAGGAAUUGUUAGGCCAAGAUAAUAAACUGCAAAAGAGCCACAGCCUCUGUCAAGUGAUUGGUACUUGAAGAGCUCUCCAAGAGCAGCAGAGGAUCUGGGAUAAGCAUCCAUUGUUUGGCAUCGUGUGUAGUGUAAAACCUGCACCUCUGUGAACCAAAUCAAGGAAAAGUGUAUGUAAAUCAGUUAUUAGUAAACAGGGUAGGUGCUUGGGAUUUAGCUGAGUUCACGGAGAUUGCCUAACAUAUACAAAGUCCAGGUUUUAAUCUACCAGCACCAAAUGAACUGAGCAUGGUGGCACACCCCUGGGAAGGUAGAAGCAAGAGAGAAAUUCAAGGUCAUCCUGGGCUACCUGGGGAUUAGAGGCUAAGGUAAAAAGUACAUUUUAAAACUUUCCUUUUUUGAAUGGUGAAAGAAAAGGGAAGGUUUAGAAAAACUCCUACACUAUUUUAGUCACUUUUUCAUACUGGGGAGGAUGAGCUUGAUGGCACAUACCUAUUCCCAGCCCUCAGGGGGAAGAGGUAAGAGGAGUUAUACAUGUCCAAGGUCAGCCUGGACUACACAGUAAGACCCCUGUAUCAAAUAAAAUAAAACAGGAGAGGGCCAAGAAUGUAGCCCAAGUUGAGACUUUGAGUUUGCCCCUAGAAUUCUGGCAGCACAAAAAUAGAUAGACAGGUGGGUAGAUAGAUGAUAGAUACAUAAGAUAGAUAGACAGACAGAUACAGACAGGCAGAAAGAGUUAGGAAAAGGAGCAUGCUUUCUUUACCUGAUGUGAAAGAAGAUCAAAACCUAACACUUUGCAGACCUUACAUGGUAACUUUCUUUUUUCUAAAUGUUCAUCUUUAUCAAAUUAAAAGUUACCUGGGAAUUAAUUAGAUAGUGGUGCUCUCAUUUAAUAAUCCACUCAUCAAAAGCCAGUUUUCCUUGGAAGAAGACUAUGUAUAGACAGCCAGAGUUUGAUAGGAAAGAAUUUUUUUCCAUUGGUAUUCUGCCUGCAUGUAUGGCUGCAUGAGGGUACCAUAUCCCCUGGAACUGGAAUUACAGGCAGUUAUGAAAUGCCAUAUGGAUGCUGGGAUUUGAACCUGGGACUUUUGAAAAAGCAGCCAGUGUUCUUAACCACUAAGCUUAAAACUAAGACCUUUGAGAACCACAGAUCACCUACAGAGGUUCAAUCUCAUGAAGUAUUGUUCUAACCCAAAUCAACAUUUAUUUUAGAAUAUUAGUAUCUUGGAGAUUGAAAUUUAUAUUUUUUAAAUUGGGAUGCUCUAAAAUAUGAAGACUUUGUUUUUGUUUUGUGAUAGGGUUUCAUGUUCACCAAGCUGUCCUAGAAUAACUAAUCCUCCUGCCUCAGCCUCCUUAGUGCUGAAAUUAACACAUGGGUAUGUGCCACCCUUCUUAAAAUGAAUAAAAUAGUAAUUUUAAAUUCUGCUGCAUAAAGCUACUAACAUUCAAUAUUAGAAAUACUUGCCAGCUGUUUAUUGGGACUGCUAGGUACCAAGGAUCUGACUCUAGAGCAAGCAAACAGGCAUAGUUACUUUUAUCAAAUUUACAGUUCAGUGGGGUGGUGUUUCUAACAUCAUCUGUAGAAUAACUAGGCUGAGGUGUUAGGAUUGGUUAAGGAAGAGCAAAGGGGGACAGAAAUUUGCUAAGUUCCAAGCACAUGAGAAAAGUCAUAGC